UACGGAGGGUGCAAGCGUUAUCCAGAUUCACUGGGUUUAAAGGGAGCGCAGGCGGAUUGGUAAGUCAGUGGUGAAAGGCUUAAGCUUAACUUGGGAACUGCCAUUGAUACUAUCAGUCUUGAAUGUUGUUGAGGUUUGCGGAAUGGGUCAUGUAGCGGUGAAAUGCAUAGAUAUGACCCGGAACACCUAUUGCGAAGGCAGCAGGCUAAACAAAUAUUGACGCUGAGGCUCGAAAGCGUGGGGAUCAAACAGG
rnacentral:rRNA from 1 species